rnacentral:rRNA from 1 species
AUUGAACGCUGGCGGCAGGCCUAACAUAUGCAAGUCGAGCGGAUGAAGGGAGCUUGCUCCUGGAUUCAGCGGCGGACGGGUGAGUAAUGCCUAGGAAUCUGCCUGGUAGUGGGGGAUAACGUCCGGAAACGGGCGCUAAUACCGCAUACGUCCUGAGGGAGAAAGUGGGGGAUCUUCGGACCUCACGCUAUCAGAUGAGCCUAGGUCGGAUUAGCUAGUUGGUGGGGUAAAGGCCUACCAAGGCGACGAUCCGUAACUGGUCUGAGAGGAUGAUCAGUCACACUGGAACUGAGACACGGUCCAGACUCCUACGGGAGGCAGCAGUGGGGAAUAUUGGACAAAGGGCGAAAGCCUGAUCCAGCCAUGCCGCGUGUGUGAAGAAGGUCUUCGGAUUGUAAAGCACUUUAAGUUGGGAGGAAGGGCAGUAAGUUAAUACCUUGCUGUUUUGACGUUACCAACAGAAUAAGCACCGGCUAACUUCGUG